rnacentral:rRNA from 1 species
GAUGGAGCAACGCCGCGUGAGUGAAGAAGGGUUUCGGCUCGUAAAACUCUGUUGUUAAAGAAGAACAUAUCUGAGAGUAACUGUUCAGGUAUUGACGGUAUUUAACCAGAAAGCCACGGCUAACUACGUGCCAGCAGCCGCGGUAAUACGUAGGUGGCAAGCGUUGUCCGGAUUUAUUGGGCGUAAAGCGAGCGCAGGCGGUUUUUUAAGUCUGAUGUGAAAGCCUUCGGCUCAACCGAAGAAGUGCAUCGGAAACUGGGAAACUUGAGUGCAGAAGAGGACAGUGGAACUCCAUGUGUAGCGGUGAAAUGCGUAGAUAUAUGGAAGAACACCAGUGGCGAAGGCGGCUGUCUGGUCUGUAACUGACGCUGAGGCUCGAAAGUAUGGGUAGCAAACAGGAUUAGAUACCCUGGUAGUCCAUACCGUAAACGAUGAAUGCUAAGUGUUGGAGGGUUUCCGCCCUUCAGUGCUGCAGCUAACGCAUUAAGCAUUCCGCCUGGGGAGUACGGCCGCAAGGCUGAAACUCAAAGGAAUUGACGGGGGCCCGCACAAGCGGUGGAGCAUGUGGUUUAAUUCGAAGCUACGCGAAGAACCUUACCAGGUCUUGACAUACUAUGCAAAUCUAAGAGAUUAGACGUUCCCUUCGGGGACAUGGAUACAGGUGGUGCAUGGUUGUCGUCAGCUCGUGUCGUGAGAUGUUGGGUUAAGUCCCGCAACGAGCGCAACCCUUAUUAUCAGUUGCCAGCAUUAAGUUGGGCACUCUGGUGAGACUGCCGGUGACAAACCGGAGGAAGGUGGGGAUGACGUCAAAUCAUCAUGCCCCUUAUGACCUGGGCUACACACGUGCUACAAUGGAUGGUACAACGAGUUGCGAACUCGCGAGAGUAAGCUAAUCUCUUAAAGCCAUUCUCAGUUCGGAUUGUAGGCUGCAACUCGCCUACAUGAAGUCGGAAUCGCUAGUAAUCGCGGAUCAGCAUGCCGCGGUGAAUACGUUCCCGGGCCUUGUACACACCGCCCGUCACACCAUGAGAGUUUGUAACACCCAAAGUCGGUGGGGUAACCUUUAGGAACCAGCCGCCUAAG